rnacentral:rRNA from 1 species
UACGUAGGUGGCAAGCGUUGUCCGGAUUUAUUGGGUUUAAAGGGUGCGUAGGCGGUCUUUUAAGUCAGUGGUGAAAUACUUCAGCUCAACUGGAGAGGUGCCAUUGAUACUGGGAGACUUGAGUACUGAUGAGGUAAGCGGAAUUCCUGGUGUAGCGGUGAAAUGCGUAGAUAUCAGGAGGAACACCUGUGGUGUAGACAGCUUACUGGACCACGACUGACGCUGAGACACGAAAGCGUGGGUAGCAAACAGG